rnacentral:rRNA from 1 species
ACUGCUCAGUAACACGUGGCUAACCUGCCCUUGGGAUAGGAACAACCCCGGGAAACUGGGGCUAAUUCCCAAUAGGCGAAGAACUCUGGAAUGAGUCUCCACCAGAAAGGGCAUCUGCGCUAUGCUCGCAGGUGUCGCCCAAGGAUGGGGCCGCGACCGAUCAGGUUGUUGGUGAGGUAAUGGCUCACCAAGCCUUUUACCGGUGCGGGCCGUGGGAGCGGGAGCCCGGAGAUGGGCACUGAGACAAGGGCCCAGGCCCUACGGGGCGCAGCAGUCGCGAAAACUUUGCAAUAAGCGAAAGCUUGACAGGGCUAUCCCGAGUGCCAUCCGCUGAGGAAGGCUUUUACCCAGUCUAGAACGCUGGGGGAAUAAGGAGAGGGCAAGUCUGGUGUCAGCCGCCGCGGUAAUACCAGCUCUCCGAGUGGUGUGGAUGUUUAUUGGGCCUAAAGCAUCCGUAGCUGGCUAGGUUAGUCCCCUGUUAAAUCCACCGAAUUAAUCGUUGGAUUGCGGGGGAUACUGCUUGGCUAGGGGACGAGAGAGGCAGACGGUAUUUCCGGGGUAGGGGUGAAAUCCUAUAAUCCUGGGAGGACCACCAGUGGCGAAGGCUGUCUGCUAGAACGCGCCCGACGGUGAGGGAUGAAAGCUGGGGGAGCGAACCGGAUUAGAUACCCGGGUAGUCCCAGCUGUAAACGAUGCAGACUAGGUGUUUGGACGGCCACGUGCCGUUCUAGUGCCGCAGGGAAGCUGUUAAGUCUGCCGCCUGGGGAGCACGAUCGCAAGAUUGAAACUUAAAGGAAUUGGCGGGGGAGCAC